AGACCAGGAGAAAAUAUUUUCAAAUCACAUAUCUGAAAAAAGAUUUGUAUCCAGAAUAUCUAAAGCACUCUCAAAACUCAGUAAUAGAAGGCUGGGGGCAGUGGCU